GCCCCUAGUAACGGCGAGUGAAGCGGGAAGAGCUCAAAUUUGAAAUCUAGUAGCCUUCGGCUGCUCGAGUUGUAAUCUAGAGAAGUGUUUUCCGUGCCGGCCCAUGUACAAGUCCCUUGGAACAGGGCGUCAUAGAGGGUGAGAAUCCCGUCCUUGACAUGGACCCCCGGUGCUCUGUGAUACACUUUCAACGAGUCGAGUUGUUUGGGAAUGCAGCUCAAAAUGGGUGGUGAAUUCCAUCUAAAGCUAAAUAUUGGCGAGAGACCGAUAGCGAACAAGUACCGUGAGGGAAAGAUGAAAAGCACUUUGGAAAGAGAGUUAAACAGUACGUGAAAUUGUUGAAAGGGAAACGAUUGAAGUCAGUCAUGCUCUUUGGUAUUUAUAUCAUUGAGUGGGGUCAACAUCAGUUUUGAGCGAUGGAUAAAGGCACUAGGAAGGUAGCACUCUCGGGUGAACUUAUAGCCUAGCGUCAUAUACAUUGUUUGGGACUGAGGAACGCAGCAUGCCUUUAUGGCCGGGAUUCGUCCACGUACAUGCUUAGGAUGUUGACAUAAUGGCUUUAAACGACCCGUCUUGAAACACGGGACCA
rnacentral:rRNA from 1 species